UACAGAGGGUGCAAGCGUUAAUCGGAAUUACUGGGCGUAAAGCGCGCGUAGGUGGUUUGUUAAGUUGGAUGUGAAAUCCCUCGGCUCAACCGAGGACGUGCAUCCAAAACUGCUGGGCUUGAGUACUGAAGAGGAUCGCGGAAUUCCCGGUGUAGAGGUGAAAUUCGUAGAUAUCGGGAGGAACACCAGUGGCGAAGGCGGCGAUCUGGGCAGAUACUGACGCUGAGGUGCGAAAGCGUGGGGAGCAAACAGGG
rnacentral:rRNA from 1 species